ACAUGUCUUUUUAGUAUUUAAUAUAAAGUCUGGCCUGCCCACUGAAUAGAAUGUUUGAAGGGCCGCAGUAUUUUGACUGUGCAAAGGUAGCAUAAUCAUUAGUCUUUUAAUUGAAGGCUGGUAUGAAUGGUCGGAUGAGAUAUAAGCUGUGUCAUAAAAAUUAUUAUUUGAAUUUAACUUUUUAGUCAAAAGGCUAAAAUAAUUUUAAAAGACGAGAAGACCCUAUAGAGCUUUAUAUAGUAAAUGUUUAAAUUAUUAAGAUUUAUUAAAUUUAAUUUUUGUACUUUAUUAUGUUGGGGUGACAAUAAAAUUUAUAAAACUUUUAUUUUUAUUUAACAUUAAUCUAUGGCUAUAUGAUCCAAUUUUAUUGAUUAUAAAUUUAAGUUACCUUAGGGAUAACAGCGUAAUUUUUUUUGAGAGUUCUUAUCGACAAAAAAGAUUGCGACCUCGAUGUUGGAUUAAGAUUAAUUUUGGGUGUAGAAGUUCAAAAUUUAAGUCUGUUCGACUUUUAAAUUCUUACAUGAUC
rnacentral:rRNA from 1 species